rnacentral:rRNA from 1 species
GGCUCAGGAUGAACGCUAGCUACAGGCUUAACACAUGCAAGUCGAGGGGCAUCAGGAUUUGUGCUUGCACAGAUUGCUGGCGACCGGCGCACGGGUGAGUAACGCGUAUCCAACUUCCCCUUAGUAGGGCAUAGCCCGGCGAAAGUCGGAUUAAUACCCUAUGUUUUCCGUUGAGAGCAUUUGAAAUGGAACAAAGAUUCAUCGCUAAGGGAUGGGGAUGCGUCUGAUUAGGUAGUCGGCGGGGUAACGGCCCACCGAGCCUGCGAUCAGUAGGGGUUCUGAGAGGAAGGUCCCCCACAUUGGUACUGAGACACGGACCAAACUCCUACGGGAGGCAGCAGUGAGGAAUAUUGGUCAAUGGGCGCGAGCCUGAACCAGCCAAGUAGCGUGAGGGAUGACGGCCCUAUGGGUCUUAAACCUCUUUUGUUGGGGAGCAAAGUGCGUCACUUGUGGCGUAUUGCGAGUACCCUUCGAAUAAGCAUCGGCUAACUCCGUGCC